CGCUCAUGCACGAAAAGCGUGGGGAUCAAACAGGAUUAGAUACCCUGGUAGUCCACGCAGUAAAACGAUGAGGACUUGUUUGUCGGCGAUACAGUGUCGGUGACAAAGCGAAAGCGAUAAGUCCUCCCACCUGGGGAGUACGAUCGCAAAGGUUGAAAACUCAAAGGAAUUGACGGGGGCCCGCACAAGCGGAGGAGCAUGUGGUUUAAUUCGAUGAUACGCGAGGAACCUUACCUGGACUCAAAUGUUGAGCGACCGGACCAGAAAUGGUCCUUUCCUUCGGGACAGUCAGCAAGGUGCUGCAUGGUUGUCGUCAGCUCGUGCCGUGAGGUGUCAGGUUAAGUCCUAUAACGAGCGCAACCCCUACGUCCAGUUGCCAGCGGGUAAAGCCGGGGACUCUGGAGGGACUGCCGGCGCAAGCCGAGAGGAAGGUGGGGAUGACGUCAAAUCAGCACGGCCCUUACGUCCAGGGCGACACACGUGCUACAAUGGCCGGUACAGAGGGCAGCCACCUGGUGACAGGGAGCGAAUCUCGAAAGCCGGUCUCAGUUCGGAUCGGAGUCUGCAACUCGACUCCGUGAAGUUGGAUUCGCUAGUAAU
rnacentral:rRNA from 1 species